GGUCUGGCUGCAGUAACACACAAGCGCAGCAGCGGCAGCAGCAACGACUAAGUCUCUGCACUGCCCUGACGUCACGGGCCGACACGGCUCCCCUUAAAAGGGCAACGCCGCGCUGCUCGAGGCAAGCGAGCCGACCAAGGCUUCGAAGGGGACCGCAAUGGAAACGGUAAUGUGCUGCGAAUGCAAAGCAAGCCCGGCUGUUGCGGUGGCCGUGCUCUGCACGACGACUGGAACAUGUUGAGCUGUUAAUGUUAAAAUGUUGCCGCAGUGCAAUUGGCCUCCUGUAAAAAAAAAAAGCAUUGGGGAAAGAAUAAUUGCUCUUCUACUGGAAGAGAAAGUUGCCCCAGCAUGUGAAGGAGAUAAUAAAGCGACGUCUACCUUUGUUUACUAUAUAAUGGGAAGGUGUGCAAUGUAAAGCCUAGGGGCUACAUCCUCCUACACAUGGACUGUGAUACCAGACAGCCUUCUCUCCAACCUGGGAUUCAGCUUUAAACCAGCAGCGAAACUGUUACAGAGACAAGUGUUUGAUGCUCAGAGGGAAGCAAGCCUCCAUUUGGGUCAGAACAACAAAGGCAAGUAACCUGAACUGGUGCAAGCAGCCUGAACAAGCAAAGCACCCUGGAUCUUGAAUGCAUAAUAAAUCGGAAUUUCUAUAGAAUUCAGCUUCUAUAGAAUUUCAGAAAGAGUAAACAGGUGUCUUUGACAAAAAGACAAGCCCUGGAAAAAUGAGUAACGAUGCCCUAAAAUACAAUCAAGACAAGGUCUAAAAUAAUUGAUUAAAUUCAGUAUACUAGUGGUACCCUUUUGCCUUGGCAAUCCAACUGAAUAGGAGCCCACCCAUACAUUUUUCCUUGCCUCUACAAAAGACAUCCCUUUUUUCUUGAACCUUCCCAUAUUUGCAGUCCCUGCUAGAAGAGCUCAGAAGGAAAAACCUUUAACUAGUCUCUGCUUUUAGGUAUGCAGAUCUUCAGAUGUAGGAUUGUGGCAAGUACUCUGCUCCUUUACUGUCCUGGAUUCCAUCCUGUUGGGUGCUCCACUGUUGUACUCUACCCUGUCUUUCCUCAACUUCUCAGGAGUGCUCACAUGGCUGAUGUCACAUUGAAUUGCCCUGGCUAGUUCCAAGCAGUCCCUCCUCCUCAUCUCCUCACAUUUGAGUUUCUGAGUUAGCCUCCCCAGUCCCCUUGGGAAGCUGAUAUCUACACUGGUGCUUGAAACCACCAAUCAGCCUUGGCCCACCUGGUGCCUCAGUCUGCAAUGACAGCCAUAACUGUGGACUCUUCCUUGCCUACUGCUUUGGUAGCACCUUUUUGACAGAACCCAUACAUCUCCUCAAUAAGAUCCCCUCCUUUGUCUUUACCCACAAAACAGCAGACCAUUGGACAGGUAUAACAGUUGCUCUUUACUCCUCCUUUCUCCCUCUCCCUCUUUCCCCCCUUUCCACUCACAUCCUAUCACCCACCAACUGCUAGGCUAUCUGAGCCUCCACCUCCCCACUUUUCCCCUCUCCCUCCUUGGGAGCUGCUUUCACUUCUUGUAUUACUAAGGUUGCCAAAUGCCAUAUUUUCACAUUGUGUUCCUGCUCUGUAAAAAUAAACUUUAUUUCUUAUUUCAAAAAUACUUGUCUAUGUCUGCUCCUCUGAAGUAACUAUUCGGCCUGAGAGCUAUAUGGGACUUCCUUGUUCAUAGGAAUCCCACUUACUGGGAGCAUCAACAACGAAAGGCUCUAUUGCAUCCAUGCCCUGCUGGUUGACUUCUAAGACAGUAAGGAAGAGCUUGGAAACCUCCCUUGGCCCUUUCAGCUUAGAAACAGCCCUCUCCACCUUAAAACUGUUCAGUUUGGAAAACUGAGGAGUGGGUAUGGAAACGUGACAGGACUGAUGCUGAGUUAAUUUAAUCUCUGGUUUAUUUUUAAAUUGUUAAAUGUUAAGUUUUUUGUAUAUGUUUUUAACUGGUUUUAUGCUAUUGUUAACCACCCAGAGAUAAAAGUUUGGGGCACUGUACAGAUUUGAUAAAUAAAUAAAAUUAUAUGCCAAGACAGAAUUUAGAGGGAGGUCAGACUCUGCUCAUAACGUCUCAGAGAUUUUCAAACUAGGAGAGGUUGUUUCCACUUCUGCCAUUUCCAAGAUUUUUCCAUGUCACUCACUAGUGAAAAACAGACUACUUUAUGGGAACUAUAGUUAAGUAAUCUUUAUCAGUGGUAUACUUCUGCAAAGAGAACCUUUUACAUGGCUCCACCAAGAGCAGAGUCCAUCAGCCUCCCUAUAACUGGCAAAUGGAGAGAAAGCAAUAGCAACUCCUGGUACUGCUUGGUCCUUCAUACUCCACUUGCAAAUAUGUAAAUAAAGAGAUAUUGCAAAAUCAAGAUUCCAAUAUUCUGUCCCCUGGGUAGCUUGGAUUGUAUUUCCUUUUGUAGCUGAAGAGUCCAUUCCUAGAACAGAGCCAUUUAUUUAUUUACUAAUAAAUAAAUGCAUGCCAGUAUCCACUUUGAUUCCACUAUGCAUUAGGCUAAAGACUGCUCUAUGGCCUGUUUUCAAUUGCCAAGCAUUGAGGAGGCAGCAACAAGCUUGGCUUCAUACAGUCUCUUUGCACAUCUUUGAUCUCUGGAGGCAAGUUGUCUGCUCAUAUAAUUUAAAGCAGCCUCAAGACUAUUCUUUACAUUUAUAAAAUUGUCAGACCAGCUCUCCAUCAUUGGAAAAAGAUUUAAAGGUUCUUGUUCUCUUGCUUCUAACCUAUAUCAACUACAUGAGAAUGGCAUGGAGUCAAUAGGCUAGACUAGGAGUCUUCAUCCCCUUCUUCAUCUUUCUUCCCCUCCAGGAAGCAAAGAUGGAUUCCCGCCCCACCCCCGGUUUUGUUGCUUAGAGGUGGAAAUCAAAAAUAAUUUUGCAUAAAUCUUUAUGUGGUGAGCUAGCUGCUCAGAUGAAGUAGAGUGGUAGCUUGCAUUCUGCAAACUGCAGUUUGCAAUCUGCAAAAAGUAUGCAUUCUGCAUUCUUCAAGCUUGCAUUCUGCAAACACUACUCUGAAAGGUGAAGGAGCACCUUUCAAAGAGAUGACACUCUUAUAUUUACCAGGGGGAGAACAAUGGUCCUAUUUUGCAUCCCUCUAGCAAUUGCAUCCCUCUAGCAUCCCUCUAGCAAUUGUUGCUAGUGUCUCUACCUUGUGUUUCUUUCAGAUUGUGAACCCUUUGGGGACAGGAACUUCCUUCUUCUUUCUAUGUAAACCACUUUGAUGAUUUUUGUUGUUGAAAAUCAGUAUAUUAUGAUUAUUAAUAACAAUAAUAAAUAAAUAAAUCUAGAAUGAUA